UUCAGGAUUAUCCAUUAUUACAGAUGUCUGGUAUUUGUGAAAGUAAGGAAGAGAAGAGAUAAUCCUUGUAAAUUAUCUAUUACAGAUUUAGUUUUCUGUGUAUAUGUUAGAGAUAGAUUUCUGAAUAUAUUUGGAAGGAAGAAAGAAAGGAAAAAUAUAAUUUUUGUUGAUUACCUAUUACAGAUAGAGAUUCAUGUGUAUAUUUAGUCAUGACCGCUGAAUUUAUCCAUAUCCCUUUAUUGUUACCUUUUGAAGAUUGUUUGUUUGUUUUUGUAUUCUCAGGGAUUUUUUUGAGUUUUCAGUGAGUUUCUUCAUAUAUUUAAAAAUUUUCCCUGUAGGGGUAUCAUAUUCUUUUGUCUUCUCUGGCUGACGUCACUUAGUGUGCGAUCCUCCAAGGUCCAUCCUUCUAGUGACUGACGACAUAGUUUCAUACUUUCAGUGGUGCCUGCUCAUAGCUGAGUAACAGUCCAUUGUAUAUGUGCCCCGCAUUUUCUUUAAGCUUUUACCUGUCAUUGGACAUUUUCUUGGGUCUGUGUCUCAGCUACUGUGAGUAGUGCUGCAGUGAACGUGGGGUGCAUGUGUCUUUUGGAAUGACAGUUUCUCGGCCCAGGUGUGCAUAUGUCAGAUCCUAAGCUUAGCUACUUGGAAAGUGUUUUUUUUCUGGCACGCGGAGACUCUCCUUUCAGUGGCUAUUGCCAAUGUCCAUCCCACUGAUUGUGCUGAGUCAGAGAGGGAGGUGUUACUUGUCUUCUCGGAUCUGUAUGCAUUUAUUGUUUGUGGAUUACUGUGAUCAGAUUUCUGGCUAUUUUCAUUGACUUUCCUCCUGUAAUAAUUAGGGAUGCUGAGUAUCUUGUCCUAUGGCCGUUUGAGGAUUGUUUUUUCUUUUUUUUUCUUUAUUUUCUUCCUUAAAUUGUGUGAAGAAAAUGUACAUGUUGCAACUGGCAUCUUGAAAGUCAGUUGUGUUUGGAAUUUAUUUCCGCAAUACCCACCCCAGGACCUUUCCCGAGGGCAGCUGUCAUUCCAGCCCCACAGGCCUUGUGAAUGGAGGUGCAGUAAGCAAGGUGUUUAAGUUGUAGUUACAAGAAAUGGCCACAAGGCGGCAGCACUGUUUCUUGCCAACUCUGGUUCUUCAGGCAAAGUGAGCCUUUCGGAAAGUUGGCUUCUAGG
rnacentral:lncRNA from 1 species